rnacentral:sRNA from 1 species
AUAAGCGGAGGAAAAGAAACCAACAGGGAUUGCCUUAGUAACGGCGAGUGAAGCGGCAACAGCUCAAAUUUGAAAGCUGGCCCUUUUAGGGUCCGCGUUGUAAUUUGUAGAGGAUGAUUCGGCGAGGGCUCCUGCCUAAGUCCCCUGGAACGGGGCGUCAUAGAGGGUGAGAAUCCCGUAUGCGGUAGGUUGCCUUAGCCAUGUGAAUCUCCUUCGACGAGUCGAGUUGUUUGGGAAUGCAGCUCUAAAUGGGAGGUAAAUUUCUUCUAAAGCUAAAUACCGGCCAGAGACCGAUAGCGCACAAGUAGAGUGAUCGAAAGAUGAAAAGCACUUUGGAAAGAGAGUUAAAAAGUACGUGAAAUUGUUGAAAGGGAAGCGCUUGCAACCAGACUUGUCCGCAGUUGCUCAGCCGGUCUCCUGACCGGCGUACUCUUCUGCGGCCAGGCCAGCAUCAGUUCGGGCGGUCGGAUAAAGGCCUCGGGAAUGUGGCUCCUCUCGGGGAGUGUUAUAGCCCGGGGUGCAAUGCGGCCAGCCUGGACUGAGGAACUCGCUUCGGCAAGGAUGCUGGCGUAAUGGUUGUAAGCGGCCCGUCUUGAAA